AACGAACGCUGGCGGCAGGCCUAACACAUGCAAGUCGAACGUGAAGCCACCUUCGGGUGGUGGAAAGUGGCAGACGGGUAAGUAACGCGUGGGAACGUGCCUUUCGGUUCGGAAUAACCCAGGGAAACUUGGGCUAAUACCGGAUACGCCCUUCGGGGGAAAGAUUCAUCGCCGAAAGAUCGGCCCGCGUCGGAUUAGCUAGUUGGUGGGGUAAUGGCUCACCAAGGCGACGAUCCGUAGCUGGUCUGAGAGGAUGACCAGCCACACUGGGACUGAGACACGGCCCAGACUCCUACGGGAGGCAGCAGUGGGGAAUAUUGGACAAUGGGCGCAAGCCUGAUCCAACCAUGCCGCGUGGGUGAAGAAGGCCUUAGGGUUGUAAACCCCUUUCAGCGGGGAAGAUAAUGACGGUACCCGCAGAAGAAGUCCCGGCUAACUCCGUGCCAGCCGCCGCGGUAACAC
rnacentral:rRNA from 1 species